rnacentral:pre_miRNA from 1 species
GUAGUACUCCCUCCGUUCGGAAUUACUUGUCACAAAAAUGGAUGUAUCUACAACUAAAAUACAUCUAGAUACAUUCAUUUCUUGGAUGAGUAAUUCCGAACGGAGGGAGUAUGUA